GCGGACGGGUGAGUAACACGUGGAUAACCUACCUAUAAGACUGGGAUAACUUCGGGAAACCGGAGCUAAUACCGGAUAACAUAUUGAACCGCAUGGUUCAAUAGUGAAAGGCGGCUUUGCUGUCACUUAUAGAUGGAUCCGCGCCGUAUUAGCUAGUUGGUAAGGUAACGGCUUACCAAGGCAACGAUACGUAGCCGACCUGAGAGGGUGAUCGGCCACACUGGAACUGAGACACGGUCCAGACUCCUACGGGAGGCAGCAGUAGGGAAUCUUCCGCAAUGGGCGAAAGCCUGACGGAGCAACGCCGCGUGAGUGAUGAAGGUCUUCGGAUCGUAAAACUCUGUUAUCAGGGAAGAACAAAUGUGUAAGUAACUGUGCACAUCUUGACGGUACCUGAUCAGAAAGCCACGGCUAACUACGUGCCAGCAGCCGCGGUAAUACGUAGGUGGCAAGCGUUAUCCGGAAUUAUUGGGCGUAAAGCGCGCGUAGGCGGUUUUUUAAGUCUGAUGUGAAAGCCCACGGCUCAACCGUGGAGGGUCAUUGGAAACUGGAAAACUUGAGUGCAGAAGAGGAAAGUGGAAUUCCAUGUGUAGCGGUGAAAUGCGCAGAGAUAUGGAGGAACCACCAGUGGCGAAGGCGACUUUCUGGUCUGUAACUGACGCUGAUGUGCGAAAGCGUGGGGAUCAAACAGGAUUAGAUACCCUGGUAGUCCACGCCGUAAACGAUGAGUGCUAAGUGUUAGGGGGUUUCCGCCCCUUAGUGCUGCAGCUAACGCAUUAAGCACUCCGCCUGGGGAGUACGACCGCAAGGUUGAAACUCAAAGGAAUUGACGGGGACCCGCACAAGCGGUGGAGCAUGUGGUUUAAUUCGAAGCAACGCGAAGAACCUUACCAAAUCUUGACAUCCUUUGACCGCUCUAGAGAUAGAGUNUUCCCCUUCGGGGGACAAAGUGACAGGUGGUGCAUGGUUGUCGUCAGCUCGUGUCGUGAGAUGUUGGGUUAAGUCCCGCAACGAGCGCAACCCUUAAGCUUAGUUGCCAUCAUUAAGUUGGGCACUCUAAGUUGACUGCCGGUGACAAACCGGAGGAAGGUGGGGAUGACGUCAAAUCAUCAUGCCCCUUAUGAUUUGGGCUACACACGUGCUACAAUGGACAAUACAAAGGGCAGCUAAACCGCGAGGUCAAGCAAAUCCCAUAAAGUUGUUCUCAGUUCGGAUUGUAGUCUGCAACUCGACUACAUGAAGCUGGAAUCGCUAGUAAUCGUAGAUCAGCAUGCUACGGUGAAUACGUUCCCGGGUCUUGUACACACCGCCCGUCACACCACGAGAGUUUGUAACACCCGAAGCCGGUGGAGUAACCAUUUAUGGAGCUAGCCGUCGAAGGUGGGACAAAUGAUUGGGG
rnacentral:rRNA from 1 species